AGCGAACGCUGGCGGCAGGCCUAACACAUGCAAGUCGAACGGAUCCUUCGGGAUUAGUGGCGGACGGGUGAGUAACACGUGGGAACGUGCCCUUUGGUUCGGAACAACUCAGGGAAACUUGAGCUAAUACCGGUUGUGCCCUUCGGGGGAAAGAUUUAUCGCCAUUGGUGCGGCCCGCGUCUGAUUAGCUAGUUGGUGAGGUAACGGCCCACCAAGGCCACGAUUAGUAGCUGGUCAGAGAGGAUGAUCAGACACACUGGGACUGAGACACGGCCCAGACUACGACGGGAGGCAGGAGUGGGGAAUCUUGCGAAAUGGGCGAAAGCCUGACGAAGCCAUGCCGCGUGAAUGAUGAAGGUCUUAGGAUUGUAAAAUUCUUUAAGCGGGGACGAUAAUGACGGUACCCGCAGAAGAAGCUCCGGCUAACUUCGUG
rnacentral:rRNA from 1 species